rnacentral:pre_miRNA from 1 species
CCCGUCGUCCUCUCCCUCCCUCCUCUCCGGAGGGGGAGGGGGGGGCCCGCGGCGGG